UACGUAGGGUGCAAGCGUUAAUCGGAAUUACUGGGCGUAAAGCGUGCGCAGGCGGUUUUGUAAGACAGAGGGGAAAUCCCCGGGCUCAACCUGGGAACUGCCUUUGUGACUGCAAGGCUUGAGUGCGGCAGAGGGGGAUGGAAUUCCGCGUGUAGCAGUGAAACGCGUAGAUAUGCGGAGGAACACCGAUGGCGAAGGCAAUCCCCUGGGCCUGCACUGACGCUCAUGCACGAAAGCGUGGGGAGCAAACAGG
rnacentral:rRNA from 1 species